GGGCCCGCACAAGCGGUGGAGCAUGUGGUUUAAUUCGAUGAUACGCGAGGAACCUUACCAGGGCUUAAAUGUAAGUUGCAUUAGUUAGAGAUAGCUAUUUCUUCGGACUACUUACAAGGUGCUGCAUGGUUGUCGUCAGCUCGUGCCGUGAGGUGUCAGGUUAAGUCCUAUAACGAGCGCAACCCCUGUUGUUAGUUGCCAUCGAGUCAUGUCGGGAACUCUAACAAGACUGCCGGUGCAAACCGUGAGGAAGGUGGGGAUGACGUCAAAUCAUCAUGGCCCUUACGGCCUGGGCUACACACGUGCUACAAUGGCUAGGACAGACGGCCGCAAACCCGCGAGGGGGAGCC
rnacentral:rRNA from 1 species